AUUCUCAACCCACACAUCCUUGUGAUGCUUGUAGGGCUUGGACUUGGAGGCUUGCCGGCCGUCGCGGUCGGCUCCUCUUGAACGCAUUAGCUUGAUUCCGUGCGGAUCGGCUCUCAGUGUGAUAAUUGUCUACGCUGUGACCGUGAAGCGUUUGGCGAGCUUCUACCGUCCGUCUAGGACACUCUUUGAC
rnacentral:misc_RNA from 1 species